UUUCUUGACAUAAAGUCAACGCAAAAUACUGUAUUUCAAACAAAACUAAUUUAUUUAACACUUAAAAGCAUAAAAAAAGUUUAGGCAUACGCAAGUACAUUAUUUGUUGUUAAUAAAUUAUUAUAAUUUGUAGGUUUUUCAACUAAUUUCUUUGCAAGUGAAAACCGGUUUUAUAUACAUAUCGCUCAUUUACAUGAAUAGUGUCAUAACUCAAAAAACACGAUUUUUGAGUUGAGUAUGCAGAAAUGUGAGCAGUUUCAUCGUCCAUAUUGUAUAAAAAUUUCGUUCCGAUACGUGGAAAAAUUGACCGUGAAAUAAGAAUGUGCCGUUUUAAAACUUGUUAUAUUGCAUUAUUUUUAUACUCUCGCAACAAAUGUUGCUAAAGAGAGUAUUAUAGUUUUGUUCACAUAACGGUUGUUUGUAACACCCAAAACUAAACGAGUUAGAUAUAGGGUUAUAUAUACCAAAGUGAUCAGGGUGAAGAGUGGAGUUCAAAUCCGAAAGUCUGUCUGUCCGUCCGUCCGUCUGUGCAUGCUGUAACUUGAGUAAAAAUUAAGAUAUCUUGGCACACUUAUUUCUUGGCACCAUAGGAAGGUUGCUUUCGAAAAUGAGCAAAAUCGGACCACUACCACGCCCACAAAAGGGCGAAAACCGAAAACACAUAAAGUGCCAUAACUAAGCCAUAAAUAAAGCUAUGGAAAUAAAAUUUGGUAUGAAGGAUCGCACAAUGAAGGGGCAUAUUUGGAUGUAAUUUUUUUGGGAUGGAUUACAAUUGAUCGGAAUGUCGUAUUGGAAUUAUAUCUUUUACUAAUAGAUCGAAAAUUUUAUGAAAAAAUGAAGCGACUUAACGAAGGUUUCAAGACCGGAGCAUCCUCAUGUAGAGACCAAGGUGGUAAUCUGGUAACCGAUGUCCAGGGCAUACUGGGAUUAUGGAGGGAACACUUCUUCGACCUGCUGAAUGGCAGUGAGUGUACAACACCAGGAGAUGGCGCACCCGAUCCCACAAUCGAUGACGAUGGAACAGAUAUUCCAUUACCCGACCAUGAAGAAAUCCGAAUAGCAAUUACCCGCUUGAAGAACAACAAAGCAGCGGGGGCCGAUAGAUUACCGGCAGAGCUAUUCAAAUACGGCGGCGAAGAACUGAUAAGGUGCAUGCAUCAGCUUCUUUGCAGAAUAUGGUCGGAAGAAAGCAUGCCUGACGAUUGGAAUCUCAGUGUGCUCUGCCCAAUCCAUAAAAAGGGAGAUGGCGCACUAUCGUCGAUUCGGCUCUAACCGUUCAGUGAUUCAGUGAUUGAUGUUUAAUGCUUGACUUAUUUAUUAAUAAAUCAAAUACAUAAAUACAUAUAUGCAUACCAAAUAUGAUAGAUAGAACUUAGAAUACUUUUAAAUAACAAGUGGGACUGUAGAUUUGAUAUGCGAAAAACACUUGCGAGGUAAAUCAAUCUGACAUGCGGACAUCAAGAUAAUUUUCUGUGUAAAAGAAGGAUAGUAUACUUACUUCUUGUCGAAAGUAUCAGACAUUUGUUUCGAUAGCUUUUAAUCAUAUAUAAAAUAUACAAACAUACAUACAUAUGUAUGCACUGAGAUUUGAGCACAUAAAAUAUAGUGGUAUAUAUCUAAAUAUACAUAUGUAUUUUCCGUGAAUAUGUCUAAACUUGUUAUCUAAUCUUACGCUAAUACGCUUAGUUAUACUGUCAGCCCUUUCGUGCAUGUACGGAUUGUUAAAAAAAGCCAUGAGAUAUAUUAUCAUUGCGAGUACUUAUUUAAAUGGUUAUCAUUUAAGUUAUUUUUGGAACCCUAAAUUCAUUACGAUAAUUUGAAAGCUGUAUGUAUUAUCGGUACAUCUCUCAGAUAUUUAACAGAAAUUCAGAAGGUUUUUUUCCUUCUAAUAAUAAUUGUCUCUGUGACAAAAAUUGAUAAAUACUAACUCCCAUAUAUUGGUAAACAUAAUAUUGGAUAUAAUGUAGCUUGGUUUCAAAAACUCAUGAAAUCGGUCCAGGAAUUACCCCAGAGGUAGUUAGAAUUAUUUACACAUCGAAGGUUUUGUACAAAUUCCACUGAAAAAUCUUUUUUUCUGCAGUUGUUGUUGUUGCAGUGUAACUAUGCAUAAUUGCUAUGUUGUUGUAAACCGUGACCUAUUCCAAAGCGAACGAUGUCAGUUUGGUUGGAAUAGCUGGACAUAUGACAGAGAAAUAGGCAAAUGAACUGAUGACUAGCGGUAGUCGAAAAGUAACAAUCACUGUUCAGUAACAAUAUCAGUUCGAAAGGAGCAAUCACUGUUCACUGAUCACAGUAACAAUUUUAGUUGCGAUUUCGGUAAUUUUUGGUACUGUGAUACAAAAGCAGUUAAAUGCACCCAAAAUUUAUUAAUUAGUUAAUUGUGAUUACAAAAGCAGGUAAAUUUUGGAUAUUGUUAAAAUUUAUAAAAAUCUAAAUAUAAAAAAUUAAAAAAAAAUGUGGAGAACAAAUUCUCAUAAAUUCUUUUUUUUUUGUUGUGAUCGCAAUAGCAAUAUAAAAUCACAGUGAUUCAAAAAUAAAAAUAUCGCUCAUCACCUCUGUAUAUAUUGAUAAUUUAAUUUAGUUAUUCUAGUGGACUUUAUACCGAAAAUAUGGGUCAAACUGUGUGUGGGAGAAAUUCAAAACGAAACUAAUUAUAUCAGAGAGAAAUACGCCAAACGACAGUUGUGGUAGUUAUUAGUGUAUUCAUGAAAAUAUUUCUCUAUUUCUAUUUUCAGAAAUAAAUAGGUUCAGUUUUAAGUAACUUUCUACUAAACCUAAAAAUAAUGAGCAAACCGCACACUACCUACAGUUGCCGCUAGAACAACAAAGGCUAGCACGAAGCGGCUGUAAAGUGCAGUAAACCGACAAUCGAAACACAAACGCAAGCCAAUGCAACUCUAAUGACAACAACAUAAAUUGCUCUAGUUAACAAAAGAGAUUUCUAAACAAUUUUUCUCUGCGUAAUCCUUUGCUUCCUCAUUUACUCAUUCACAGUUGUUGUGGGCUUCCAAUACUUUCAUUUCUCCUCUCCGAACUCCCAAAGGCCACAAUGUUAUAUUAUAGUUGUUGUUUGUAUUGUUGGUGUUACAUUUGCAGCAUUAUUCCCAACCAUAGGAAAGUUGGUUGCGCUAGUCGUCCCUUGUCGGGUUGAAACAAAAGCAGGAUAUGCUUCCGUUGCUGUUGUUGUUAUUGUGUUGCAUUUUCAGCCUCAAGUGAUUUCAAGGCAAUAAAUUUGCCAUUUCUUGUUUUCCUGUCACUUUCUAAUUGCCUUUUCUUGUAUUACUCUAUGGUUUUAUCCUUUGAUGCUUCCAGAUUUUGGUCUACUUAAUUGCAAUUUCACAAUAUAGUAUUUAUUUUAUUUAAGAUAAACAUUUAAGAACACAAGUUCCUCUUAUUUCAGAAAACCAAUGGUUCCUUUGUGUAUGUACAGAAGAUAACAUCAUGUCUUAAAUUAUACAAAACAUUUCAUAUGGAUAUUAUAUUUCGUAUAUAAUUAACGAUUUUUGUUAGUUCAUAUAGAUUCGACGCCUCCUGAGGGCGAAAUUUUAUGAGAAACGUGUUCAAAGAUAAUAUUUCCCUCUAAGUUUGACAUUACAGCCUGAGAAACCACUGCUUGUUGAGAACCCUUCUAUAAUGCUCCUCGAAAAGUGGUACAUAAACCGAUCCGUUGGGUUCAGAUAAGUUGAACAAUAUCGGUCUUUUUAGAAGUACAAAAUUAGAAUUGAAUUAGUUAUCACGCCAUAUUCACCAUUAGAUGGUGAAAUACAAUGUUUCCUCUCAGUUUUAUUGAUACAAACUGAUAUUCUUCCUAGUCAUCUUUUACCUACUGGACAAGUAUUGCUUAGUUUCAAAGUACUCCGUUGGGAAGCCAAAAUGGAGUUAAGGGCUGGUCCAAUGCUGGCUGGCUUUAUUUGAUUUCGUUGACUUAUAUUACUUUAAAUGAUUGUAGGACCAAAUAAGAUCUUACAAAUGCCAGGGUCUUUAGACAAUAAAAGAAAAACAUCUUAAAAAGCUAAGUUUCAGCGAAACAUUGAAAUGUGAACCAAAUUGGAUGGAAUUAGUCCAGCUAAGAUCUCUACAAAGGAAAUCGCCUUUGAACCUUUGAUCAAUAAAAUUGUUAAGAUACCUAGAAAGAAGAUAGCAGAUUAUCUUAAUGUAUCUGAAAUAUAUUGAAACUCGAUGAUACCAUGAAAAACGUUGAAUGUAAGGCUAAUCAACGGUUUACAAAGGUAAUAAAACAGUUAAAGAAGAGAUGAAAAUGAUAGAGCUUAAAAUUGUGAGGGAUCAUGGGACAUAUUUAAUUUAAUUGUUAAUCUAAAUCUUUUGUCACAUUCGGACCUUCUUAAUAAAAGUAUGACAAGACAUAUCCAUAUCCAAACAAAGAGAGCUACAUACUAUUUACUGAAGCGUCAGUAAUUUAUUGAAAGAUUCAACUCCAGAAUAUGUAUUUAUAUCCGAGACACACAUCUAGUAACAAUACCAUUGUUCGUACAAAUACUCGUACCAGAUGUGUGUCACCAAAUACUAGCACUUUACCAUGUGAGCAAUGUAGUAUUUUGCUGGUAACAAUAUCUGCAUUUUUUUGUGGUAUUUCACUAAACACAGCUAAAAAUAGGUAAGAAACCUAGGUGAGAGCUUAUAUACAAAAGCUUUUUUAAAUAUUUUGUCAAAAUGACUUUUCAACAAGUAAGGAAAGGCUAAGUUCGGGUGCAACCGAACAUUUUAUACUCUCGCAAUUUAUUUAGAGAUUUACCUAUAUUUUCGGUGGAAAAUUACCCUUAGGCACUGAGUUCUUCAUGUUUGAUAUCAGGGGCCUUGAAAAGUCAUGGUUCGAUUUUAACAAUUUUUCCACAAGUGAUGUCACAGCUCAAAUACAGUAUUUGGGUAAAGUUUUAUUUCGCUAUCUUUAUCGGUUCCUUAUGUAUACAUUAUAAAGUGAACGAAUCAGAAGGAUUCAAAAUUAAGUUAUAUGGGAAGUAGACGUAGUUGUAUACCGAUUUCGCCCAUAUUCUGCCAGUGUCAUCAGGAUGUCUAGAAAAUAUUAUAUACCGAAUUUCAUUGAAAUCUGUCGAGUAGUUCUUGAGAUAUGGUUUUUCACCCAUAAGUGGACGACGCCACGCCCAUUUUCCAUUUUGUAAAAAAAUCUCAGUGCAGCUUCCUUCUGUCAUUUCUUAUGUAAUAUUUGGUGUUUCUGACGUUUCUUGUUAGUGAGUUAACGCACUUUUAGUCAUUUUCAACCUAACCUUUGUAUGGGAGGUGGGCGCGGUUAUUAUCCGAUUUCUUUAAUUUUUGAACUGUAUAAGGAAAUGGCUAAAAGAAACGACUGCAGAAAGUUUGGUUUAUAUAGCUUUAUUGGUUUGCAAGAUAUAUACAAAAAACCUAUCCUAACCCUAACCUAACCCAUUUUGUGGGCGUGCCAGUGGUCCGAUUCCGCCCAUCUUCGAACUUAACCUUCUUAUGGUGCCAAGGAACACGUGUUCCAAGUUUCAUUAAGAUAUCCCAAUUUUUACUCAAGUUACAGCUUGCACGGACGGACAGACGGACGGACGAACAGACAGACAUCCGGAUUUGAACUUUACUCGUCACCCUGAUCACUUUGAUAUAUAUAACCCUAUAUCUAACUCGUUCAGUUUUAGGACUUACAAACAACCGUUAUGUGGACAAAACUAUAAUACUCUCUUCGCAACUUUUGUUGCGAGAGUAUAAAAAUAAAUAAAUAAAAAGGAAAAUAAAAAAAAAAUUACACAAGUUUUUUUUUCAAGACGCCAGGGUCAUGUAUCGCCGUAUUUUGAUGACCAUAUGUUACGGGCUUUUAAGAUACAUUUCAACUACUUCGGUUUUUGGUGCAGAAAUACAUAUUUUUGUAUUUUUUUUUGUAAUUUUAAAAAUUGAUUUCUCCAUUACUCAUAUGUAAAUAUUUAUUUACAUUUAUUUUUUUGCAAUAUCUGAUGUUUAUGAAACAAAGUUGGUAUUUCAGUUUACUACAAAUCGAUGUGUGUCAAUGUACGUAGUAAACACAAUACCAUAAUAAUUUUAUCAUGGUAUUGUUAAUACAUGUGUGUCUCGGGUAUUAGAUUUAAACGACCGUUAUAAAUGCAACAGCCGUCAUUUAUGUAUGUAACGUCUAUUGAAAGUUGGAUACAUACGAUUUACUGGAUAACAAAUUAUCUUUCCUACAGAGUAGCAGAUCGAACCAUAUUCAAUUACUACUUUGUAUAUAGAUUUGCUUAAAAUGGUCAUAACUGAUGACGAUUCAUGAGUAUAUGGUUAUGACAUCGAAACCAAAGUCCAAUAGUCCCAAUAUUUGUUCCAUUUUUUCGACAGCAGGAAAUCGACGAACACGCAAAACACAUCUAUCUUUCAAGGCUCUCACAUAAUAACAUAAAUGGAAAGAAUUGUAUAAUUCUGAUUACUUACCUCAUUACACAGUAUAUUUAUUUAUAAAACGGCGUUAUGAAGUGAAUAAAUGCACAAGAUAAACAAAAAUUUGGAAAAUUUUCAAACAACAGUGUGCGGCGAAUUGAAAGUCAGAGCAUUAGAAAGCUCAAAAUGAAUAUAAGUAUAUAUACUAAAUACUGAAAACUGGCCAAAAACAGAGAACCGUUAAUAAUCGCAAGUUUCUGAGCGUCAACUAAUAAGAGCAUGAAUACAAAGAACAGCGAAUUUAACUGAGUUUGCGCAUUACCAGUCGCUGCAUAAUGUACAUAAUAAGAGAAAUUUGAAAGACCGAGGCGAAAGAGUAAGGCGAAUUCGGUUCAAUUUCAAAAUCUCGUAUUCCAUAACAGAAAUAAGAGAAAGUAAAGAUUAGUUGCACAGAGUGUAAUGAAGCAGAAGAAUGAAAUUGAGAAUAAAAGAAUUUUAUCAAAAGUUUAACGAAUUCGCCUCUAAUGAGGGCCGUUGGUAUGAAAACAGAGCAUAAAUUGAGUGAGGAAGACGAAAGUAGAAAUUGUAGCAAAUUCGGAGAACAAAUAUUAAAGUAAUAACAACGGUUUACUUAGAAGCCAAAUCAGUUCCAAAGUGACUACCAGGGAUAAAGGGAUGUCCAACUUAUUCCAGCGUGAGAGCGCCUCAAAAUAAGCGUUUUUUAUAACAAUUUGCAUUAUUGCCAGACCAGACAAAAUACAAAUUUUUGGGCAUUUAAAUUAAAAUACCCAACAUUUAUUACGGUUAAAAAAAAUUUUAUACUGAAUUUUUAAUAUAAAAAUUACAUAUUUAAAUUUCUUUUAGCGAUAUUAAGGUACGUUAAAAUUGCUUGUUUUCGAACUUUCAGUAAUAAAUAAGGAAAAUUAUCACUUGUCAACUGACAAUUGAUAAUUUUUUUACAAUUUUCCAUGAAAAAAUUAAUUUCCCUAUGCUGCAUAUCAUAAAAAAUUUCUUUACCCUCUUUUAAAUUUCGCGUUUAUAUUUAUAUUUAUUGUUUUAAGCUCUUAUAAGUAAUCUUGCACGGCGUUCAAAAAUGUCUCUGUCGUAUAAUUUUUUUAGCAACAUUUCAAUAUGGCCGUUCCAGUUUCCCAAUUGCGAAACGUCAAAACCUA